UACAGAGGGGGCAAGCGUUGUUCGGAAUUACUGGGCGUAAAGGGCGCGUAGGCGGUCUGUCGCGUCGGAUGUGAAAACCCAGGGCUCAACCCUGGGCCUGCAUUCGAUACGGGCAGACUAGAGUUCGGUAGGGGAGACUGGAAUUCCUGGUGUAGCGGUGAAAUGCGCAGAUAUCAGGAGGAACACCGGUGGCGAAGGCGGGUCUCUGGGCCGAAACUGACGCUGAGGAGCGAAAGCGUGGGGAGCAAACAGG
rnacentral:rRNA from 1 species